rnacentral:rRNA from 1 species
GAUGAACGCUAGCUACAGGCUUAACACAUGCCAGUCGAGGGGAAACGGCAUUAAGUGCUUGCACUUUUUGGACGUCGACCGGCGCACGGGUGAGUAACGCGUAUCCAACCUUCCCAUGACUAAGGGAUAACCUGCCGAAAGGCAGACUAAUACCUUAUGGUCUUCACUGACGGCAUCAGAUGUGAAGUAAAGAUUUAUCGGUUAUGGAUGGGGAUGCGUCUGAUUAGCUUGUUGGCGGGGUAACGGCCCACCAAGGCAACGAUCAGUAGGGGUUCUGAGAGGAAGGUCCCCCACAUUGGAACUGAGACACGGUCCAAACUCCUACGGGAGGCAGCAGUGAGGAAUAUUGGUCAAUGGGCGAGAGCCUGAACCAGCCAAGUAGCGUGCAGGAGGACGGCCCUAUGGGUUGUAAACUGCUUUUGUAUGGGGAUAAAGUCAAUCACGUGUGAUUGUUUGCAGGUACCAUACGAAUAAGGACCGGCUAAUUCCGUG